UGGAGGCGUGCCUAAUACAUGCAAGUCGAACGAACGGAUUGAGGAGCUUGCUCUUCAAGAAGUUAGUGGCGGACGGGUGAGUAACACGUGGGUAACCUGCCCUUCAGCGGGGGAUAACAUCCGGAAACGGGUGCUAAUACCGCAUAGUUUCUUUUUCCGCCUGGAAGAAGAAGGAAAGAUGGCCUUUGUGCUAUCACUGAGGGAUGGACCCGCGGCGUAUUAGUUAGUUGGUGGGGUAAUGGCCUACCAAGACGAUGAUACGUAGCCGACCUGAGAGGGUGAUCGGCCACACUGGAACUGAGACACGGUCCAGACUCCUACGGGAGGCAGCAGUGGGGAAUAUUGCACAAUGGAGGAACUCUGAUGCAGCGACGCCGCGUGACGAUGAAGCUUCGGGUCGUAA
rnacentral:rRNA from 1 species